GAGCUGGGUCACCUACUAAGAUUAAACCAUGACACUAUGGCAGGCCAACUUACUAGCUUUCAAGUAAGGUAACAUCUCAGACCAUCACAGGUUUUGACAGGGGAAACUCUGAAGGACCACAGGAGUUGGAGGUUCCACGUAUCUCUAAGUAGUAACAUACAAUGGGUCCAAAACAGAAGAAAGAGAACUCAAGAUUCCCGAGCCACACAGCUGUGGAUUGGAGGCUGACUCAGAGAGACCCUGGAUUCAGUGACAUACAGAGAUAACAGGUGCCAUAAGCAAAGUGAGCGGUUUGGAGAGAACACUGUACAUGACUUCCUGACUACAAUGGCCUGUGGCUGAUGAAGUACAGCACUUUGGUGGAAACAGGUGGGCAGUGUGUGUGGGUGAGGAAUAUGAUGGCUUUAAAGACAUCUUUCAAACUAGAGUGAAAUGAGAGACCAUUCUCUAAAUAAAUAUUCAGGUGGUAAUUCGCCAUAUGAAAAAUUUCAGCUGUAAGAUGUGUU
rnacentral:lncRNA from 1 species